AGUGAGCGCUGGCGGUAGGCCUAACACAUGCAAGUCGAACGGCAGCACAGUAAGAGCUUGCUCUUACGGGUGGCGAGUGGCGGACGGGUGAGGAAUACAUCGGAAUCUACUUUUUCGUGGGGGAUAACGUAGGGAAACUUACGCUAAUACCGCAUACGACCUACGGGUGAAAGCAGGGGAUCUUCGGACCUUGCGCGAUUGAAUGAGCCGAUGUCGGAUUAGCUAGUUGGCGGGGUAAAGGCCCACCAAGCCGACGAUCCGUAGCUGGUCUGAGAGGAUGAUCAGCCACACUGGAACUGAGACACGGUCCAGACUCCUACGGGAGGCAGCAGCGGGGAAUAUUGGACAAUGGGCGCAAGCCUGAUCCAGCCAUACCGCGUGGGUGAAGAAGACCUUCGGGUUGUAAAGCUCUUUUGUUGGGAGAGAAAAGCAGCAGGUUAAGACCGCGCUGUUCUGACGGUACCCAAAGAAUAAGCACCGGCUAACUUCGUG
rnacentral:rRNA from 1 species